rnacentral:tRNA from 1 species
UGGGGUGUAGGUCAGUGGUAGACUGCUUGUCUAACUUGCAUGAGGCCCUGGGUUUGAUCUCCAGCACCAAAA